rnacentral:ribozyme from 1 species
UUCCUGGAAUGAAAAGAAGAACAAAGAACGAACCAAAGAAGGUAAGUGGAAUGAGGUUAACGCACGCUUUUUGGUUCGUCCUUUGUGCUUCUUUCAUUCCCCUCUUUGGUUUGUGUUCUUUGUGUUCACUUUGUUCAAAAAUAAAACCAAAGCACGCUUCAUUUUCUUACCAUUGUCUUUGGUUUUAGUUUUAAUUGAAACAAAGUGAACACAACCAAAGAACCCAAAGAAUAGAAAUGUAGUUGUGUGUUUAUUUCUCUUUC